rnacentral:rRNA from 1 species
UACAGACGAGAGGCUCUCUACCGUCUGGAAAGUUUUUCGGUCUGGGAUGGACUCGCGGCCUAUCAGCUAGUUGGUGAGGUAAUGGCUCACCAAGGCGACGACGGGUAGCCGGCCUGAGAGGGCGACCGGCCACACUGGGACUGAGACACGGCCCAGACUCCUACGGGAGGCAGCAGUGGGGAAUAUUGCACAAUGGGCGAAAGCCUGAUGCAGCGACGCCGCGUGAGGGAUGAAGGCCUUCGGGUUGUAAACCUCUUUCAGCA